UGGGGAAUAUUGGACAAUGGGGGCAACCCUGAUCCAGCCAUGCCGCGUGAGUGAUGAAGGCCUUCGGGUUGUAAAGCUCUUUUGGCGGGGACGAUGAUGACGGUACCCGCAGAAUAAGCCCCGGCUAACUUCGUGCCAGCAGCCGCGGUAAGACGAAGGGGGCUAGCGUUGUUCGGAAUUACUGGGCGUAAAGCGAGUGUAGGCGGUUGCCGUAGUCAGGUGUGAAAGCCUUGAGCUCAACUCAAGAAAUGCACUUGAUACUGGGUGACUAGAGGACCGGAGAGGAUAGUGGAAUUCCCAGUGUAGUGGUGAAAUACGUAGAGAUUGGGAAGAACACCAGUGGCGAAGGCGGCUAUCUGGACGGUUACUGACGCUAAGACUCGAAAGCGUGGGGAGCAAACAGGAUUAGAUAUCCUGGUAGUCCACGCCGUAAACGAUGGGUGCUAGACGUUGGCGAGCUUGCUCGUCAGUGUCGCAGCUAACGCGUUAAGCA
rnacentral:rRNA from 1 species